rnacentral:tRNA from 2 species
CUCUUCGUAGCUCAGUUGGUAGAGCAGCUGACUCUUAAUCAGCGGGUCGUGGGUUCGAGUCCCACCGAGGAGA